CGGGUACUGCCCGGCGCGUCAGAGCACGAUCAAUCCCUGGGGCGAUAAUCAUCUCGAUCCGGGGGCUGUCCCUGGCUGGAACCCUGGUUCCGGACAUAUGGCUCCCACCUGGCACUUUGGCGCCAGAGGAUGACAAGACUCAACGGCCCAUGGUGGUCCCGCC
rnacentral:other from 1 species